rnacentral:misc_RNA from 1 species
GGAACUUUAAAGAUAUAUGAAUGAUCGGCCAAAUACAAGCAGCCAUAUAAACGAAAAUUCCAGCUGAGGUGCAUGACCUAGCUAACUUUUUUAAUUGGGAAUUAUUCAUGAAGAUUAUAUACAUUUUCUAUCUCAAGAUGGUGAGGCUGGCUGCAUCAUUGUACCAGGUGUGUAAGAAUAUCAGAUAAAAGGGGCUACAAGAAGUGCUUAACUUUAUCUUCAAAUAGCACCGGGCCACAAGAUAACCUGAGUUCACUUCUUGGAAUAAAACCAUAUACGGAAUAAAUAAUCUUCCGGAAGUCGAAAACUAACAAGGAGCGAGAGAAUUAUCUCAACUUCCAAAGGCAGAAAAACACUUAUAGUCUCCACGCCAUUGUUUCAAGUCUGGUCUAUUAAAUAGAGAGACAUCAAGCCUGCACCAAGCAGAAGAAAAAGAUUAACUCCAAGUUGGAGUUUUCCAUUGCCCUGUACUUUAGGAUUCAUAAAAUCAGCGGCAAGAAGAUCCACCAAUGCCAUGUAAAUUAAAAUUCCGGCUGAAGCUGAAUUAAAAAUCCCUUCAACAAUGAGAGCAGUUGGACUAUUCUCUUUAUACACAUUUGAUAUCCCAAUUCCGAUUGCGAUACCAACUGGGGUUGUAAGAGAGAAGAAAAGUGCCAUAGUGGCAACAACUCUUCCCUUGAAUUUUGCCUGAGCAAUGCAUCCUCCAAGUCCCAUACCCUCAAAGAACUGAUGAAAGGUGAGGGCAGCUACUAGAGGCCUUAUUGUUUUUGGACUUUCAGAAGCACCUAAAGAUAUUCCUAUUAUCACAGAAUGGACCACAAUACCCAACUCCAAAACCUGUGAAAUAACUCGAUGGCGAAGAAUUUCAGAUGAAGCAGAAUUCUCAAUCAAAACUGAACCAUGUGAAUGACCAUGAGUUGCAUGAGUGUGAACAUGCAUCUGUCCUCCAUUUUCUCUGGCUUUCUCCUCAGAUUUGCCUAGAGCCUCAGAUUUGUUACGAUCUUCUGCUUCAUUUUCACAUGUACAAUCUCCGAUCACAAGCGCAGGGAGUAGCAAGAAGAAACCAAAAACUCUGAAAAAGCUUCUAUUGAAAUUGCUCAUGGUAUAGGUAUAUUGAGUGAAAGUAUAGGAUUUUGCUAGCUUCUUAUGUAGGAGACUGAU